rnacentral:rRNA from 1 species
AGCGAACGCUGGCGGCAGGCCUAACACAUGCAAGUCCAACGAACUCUUCGGAGUUAGUGGCGGACGGGUGAGUAACACGUGGGAACGUGCCUUUUGGUUCGGAAUAACUCAGGGAAACUUGUGCUAAUACCGAAUGUGCCCUUCGGGGGAAAGAUUUAUCGCCAUUAGAGCGGCCCGCGUCUGAUUAGCUAGUUGGUGAGGUAACGGCUCACCAAGGCGACGAUCAGUAGCUGGUCUGAGAGGAUGACCAGCCACACUGGGACUGAGACACGGCCCAGACUCCUACGGGAGGCAGCAGUGGGGAAUCUUGCGCAAUGGGCGAAAGCCUGACGCAGCCAUGCCGCGUGAAUGAUGAAGGUCUUAGGAUUGUAAAAUUCUUUCACCGGGGACGAUAAUGACGGUACCCGGAGAAGAAGCCCCGGCUAACUUCGUG